rnacentral:lncRNA from 1 species
GAUCCUGCAGCAGCGAGGAGACCUGAAGACCAGAGGAAACACAGCAAGUUGGAAUGCAGUGGCACGAUCUCGGCUCACUGCAACCUCUGCCUCCCGGGAUCAAGCAAGAUUCUCCUGCCUCAGCCUCCUGAGUACCCGGGAAUACAGGUGCCCACCACCACACCUGGCUAACUUUCGUAUUUUUAGUAGAGACCAAGCUGGUCUCAAACUCCUGACCUCAGGCGAUUCACCCGCCUCAGUCUCCCAAAGUGCUGGGAUUACAGGCGUGAGCCACUGCGCUCAGCCCUUUUUAUUUUAAAAAAAAAUUUUUUUGAGGCAGGGUCUCGCUCUGUUGCCCAGGCUGGAGUGCAGUGGUGAGAUCUGGGCUGACCACAACCUCAACCUCCUGGGCUCAAACAAUCCUCCCACCUCGGUCUCCCUAGUACUAGGACUACAGGCGUGCACCACCACACCAAGCUAAAUUUUGUAUUUUAAUAAAGACAGGGUUUUGCUAUGUUGCCGAGGCUCGUCUCAAACUCCUGGGCUCAAGUGAUCUGCCCGCUUCAGCCUCCGAAAGUGCUGGGAUUACAGAUGGGCACCACAAUGCCCAGCUGUAAUAUCCUUUAUACUAAAUGGACUAAUGUUAAGUAAAUGGUUUCCCUGAGAUCUGUGAGCCCUCCUAGAAAAUUAAUCAGACCUGAGGAGAGGAUGUGGAAACCCCAAAUUUAGAGCUGGUCAGAAGUACAGGUCACCACCUGGCCCUUGAGAUGGUCAUCUGAAAUGGAAGGAUCUUGUGGGACUGUUCCCUUAGCCUGUGGGAUCUGAUGCCAUCUCCAGGUAGGUGAUGUCAGAACUGAACUGAACUGUAGGACACCCAGGUGGUGUCUAAUGGGGAACUGCUUGGUGUAUGGAGAAAAACCCCACACAUCUGGUGUCAGAAACGUUCUUUAUUGAGUGCUGAGUGGUGUGAGAGUAGGAGAGACCUCGUCUAGGGAGAGGGAGAAUUUUAUCUUUGCAAAAUGUCACUGUUUGCCCUCAUUAUUCAAAUGAAAAAAAAAAAAAACUUUCAGCAUAUGCUGCUUUAAUUUGGCAUCUGUCCAUCCCAUGAAAGUCGUUGACAUCGCCCACACCACACUUGCCUGGACAGCCAGGUCCUGUCUCCCAAGACCCUGCACUCUACUGUACCCUCCUUUAUCCCUAAUCAAUCCUGUUCCACCUCUUCCUCCUCAAGAUAGACACAAAACAUAUUCUCCUAUAUCCUUACCCCAGCUUUCAACCAACCAUCUUAUUACACCCUGGAAAUGUCUACAUUGCAGAAAUUACUUAUGACCAUGUUGUUUUCGGUCAUAAACUGUAAAUUUCUUUUUUCUUUGCUUUACCUGUUUUUUCAGACAGAGUAUCGCCCUGUUACCCAGGCUGAAGUGCAGUGGUAAGACCUCGGCUCACUACAACCUCUGCCUCCUAGGUUCAAGAGAUUCUCCUGCCUCAGCCUCCCAAGUAGUUGGGAUUAAACUAAGCUAAACUAUGGGGUUUGGAGGGCUCCUGGAUUAUUGAACACAUAAAGGUUCCUGGAGAGUGGUGCAGCCAGAGAGGGCAUGGAAGCUCUGCACCCCUCCCCCAUCCCUUGUCCUAUGCAUCUCUUCCAUCUGGCUGUUAAUCUGUAUCCUUUGCAAUAUCCUUUAUAAUAAAUGGGUAGACA